rnacentral:rRNA from 1 species
UAGAGUUUGAUCCGGGCUCAGGGACGAACGCUGGCGGCGUGCUUAACACAUGCAAGUCGAGCGGUAAGGCCCUUCGGGGUACACGAGCGGCGAACGGGUGAGUAACACGUGGGUGACCUGCCCUCCACUUCGGGAUAAGCCCGGGAAACUGGGUCUAAUACCGGAUAGGACCUUCUGGUGCAUGCCGGUGGGUGGAAAGUUUUUCGGUGGGGGAUGGGCCCGCGGUCUAUCAGCUUGUUGGUGGGGUGAUGGCCUACCAAGGCGACGACGGAUAGCCGGCCUGAGAGGGUGAUCGGCCACACUGGGACUGAGACACGGCCCAGACUCCUACGGGAGGCAGCAGUGGGGAAUCUUGCGCAAUGGGCGAAAGCCUGACGCAGCAACGCCGCGUGGGGGAUGACGGCCUUCGGGUUGUAAACCUCUUUCGACAUCGACGAAGCCUUCGGGUGACGGUAGGUGUAGAAGAAGCACCGGCUAACUCCGUGCCAGCAGCCGCGGUAAUACGGAGGGUGCGAGCGUUGUCCGGAAUCACUGGGCGUAAAGGGCGCGUAGGCGGCGCGACAAGGCGGCGGUGAAAGUCCGGGGCUCAACCCCGGAUCGGCCGUGGCGACUGUCGCGCUGGAGCACAGUAGAGGCGGGUGGAAUUCCGGGUA